UACAGGACUGACAGUGACAACUGUGGAUUGAACAAGUUCUUUUUAAAAGGACUGUUUUGAAGAUUAUGAUUCUGACUUUGGAGGAACUAUGGCGACUGGCAGCAUAAGGAAUCACAUGUAAAAUUCCUUAAAUAAAAAUUUAUUACCUUUAAAUAAUUUUGCCUAUGUUACACAUAAUUUAAAAAAAAAGUUACACUUUUAGUAGAAAGUCAGCAUGUAUUUUUGGCUCGAAGUUUCUCUAGUGUUUUCUGUGGAGGGAAUUAAAAAAAAAAUUUUAGCAGUUAACGGUGCAGUAUACCCUAGACAUGGAAGAAUUGUAGGGGGCCUAGCUCACCUUAUGAAAUUCUUUUGCCCUUGCUCUGUUUUGGGCAUAUGCGUCUUGCUUUGCUUUCUCUUCCCUUUGCUGUUUGACUUCAGCUAAUUGAUUAUAUGAUCUGUAAGAAAUUUAUACACAGAAUUAAGGACACACAUUUUAGGAAUGUGAAUUACUGUUCAUUCACACACACAUACACACCUAUACCUUAGGGUCCUUUGAUGCAUGAGGGCUUGCGCAGCCUUUCUGUCUUCAGGAAGUGACACUCUAACCUUAACCUUAUUCACACCCUUCAGGCAACUCACAGAUGAGCCUGAGCAGAGAACAAGUGACUUGGCAAAUGUUACAAUGCUACUACAUUUUCUUUGUCAGAACUGAUGCAGAUUGUGUGGAACAUACCUGUAGGUUUCUCCUUAACUAUGCUGAUUUGAGAAUUUUCAGGAAUACGAAUUUUAUUCUUUAUUUCUUUUUGUCUCUGGGAGGAUCUCUCCAUAAAUGAUUUUUUCCUCUUUAUAAAUGCUUCUUGUAAGCUCCCAGGUAGAGCUAUGAUCUUUGGAGAGGUUUCUGUUUAAAAAAAAAAAAAAUUGAAGCUUAUUUGUAUUGUGCCAGCAGUUGUACAAGAUUGUGGGGCAGGGUGAACACUGGAACUGAAUCAGGAACUCUGCUGGCCAAUGGUUAACACUAACCAUUUCAGAUGCUCAAGGGCAUACCUGCAGACACGAUCACUGGCUCCUCCGUGCAGUGUUCGGAUACAUCUGGACAAUCCAAGGUUUCUGUUUCUGAUACAAGAGGCAGAAAUUCACUCACCUAAUUGCAAAAAAAUUAUAGAUGAAUUUACCACCUUUUCACCUCACUGAACAGAAUCACAAGCAUAGGUUCUAAACCUUUACAGUUUUGUUUUUUUUUUUUAAGAUUUUAUUUAUUUAUUACAGAGAUAGAGACAGCCAGCGAGAGAGGGAACACAAGCAGGGGGAGUGCGAGAGGAAGAAGCAGGCUCAUAGCGGAGGAGCCUGAUGGGCUCGAUCCCACAACGCCGGGAUCACGCCCUGAGCCGAAGGCGGACGCUUAACCGCUGUGCCACCCAGGCGCCCCCAAAACCUUUACAUUUUCUAACCCCUGGUUCCCUUUGGUAGACAAAUGUGGUCUUCAGGGGGAGGGAGGCAGUUGGAAUGCCUACUCUCUAAUCCUCAAAUACAGUAUGGGAAUCUAUGUCCAAUAGACUUAGCUCCCGUUCUUUCACUGCUUUGUGCUGGUUCUCACAUCUGAACUGUAGGACUAAGUUUUCUGGGAAGGCAGAGUUUUUGAUAAAUGACUUAUUCUUACUAAAAUGCUUUACCAGACCAGCCCACUCUAGCCAAAAGCUCCCCCGGCACCCUGAUUCUUGUCAAGUUCUUCCAUUCCACUUCUGCAUCUGCUCUGCUGCUGUCCUGCCUCCCCAAAUUACUCUUCUCAGUAAUCAUGGCAACAAGUAUCAGGCCACAAAAGUCCUACUACUUCUCUGUAAGAGGGAAAAUUAAUACUCUGAAUCAGACAGCGGGUGGGGAGUUUCCAGCAGCAGUUUUGUAAUCAAUUCAUCUAUUCUAAUCUAGAAUCCUUACUAAGCUAGAAUUAAAUUUGCGGCAGAAUUCCCUCCAAUGACUACCUUCUAAGAAGUGAAGUGAGCCAGCAGGAAUGGUUUAGCUUGCCAAAGUGGAGAAAAGUAUAAAGGAACCUGCCGCUAAUAGAACUUAAAACCUAUUUUAGUGUUAGUUUUAUAACUUGAAACAUAUCCUCAUUUUUUUCUUCAGGACUGACAACACAAAAUAAAGUAAUAGCACUCAUUCUGUAUCCCCCUCAGGUCUGGUUUUACCUGUCUUCUAGAACUCUGCUGCCUCAAAACUUGUUUGAAUCAAUUCAUUCAUGAGUUCUACAGCAUCAUUAAGAUGAAUAGAUGUCCUUAGGACUAUUCAACGGCACAAAACAAUGCUACUGGGCAGUUUUGAGAGCCGGUCCCUUUUCCUGUCAGUUGUCAAUUGCUCUAAGCACAGUAACCCCUCCUGUUCACUGGGUAGUUGACUGCAUUUGCACCUAGGAAGGGGAAGUAAAUUACGUUUGCAGACAAUUCUAAUGUGGAAACAAAGUGGGAAAAGCUUACUGUUUCCCUAGUCUCAGCUAUGUGCUGCUGUAUAAAUGAGGUGUAUUCAUAUUAAAGGGAGCUAUGAAAUUUACCUGAGAACUGCUUUUUGCCUCAUUUCCUUUAUUUUCUUCUAGGGUUAGAUUUGCAAAAUCCAUUUCAGCAAUACUGAUAUCACUAGUGCUUACUAAUGUAAGCUCUGGUUCUUCCAUUAUACCAUGGCCAGACUCUGUCUCCUGUGCAAUAAAAUUCAAAAGGAAACCAUACCCUUAAAACAUUAAAAAUGUAAAAAUAACCUACAUUACAGAAGAACAGUGGUCUGCGAAGAGCAUGGUGGUGCCUCCCCCACCCCAACCCACUUUUAGAAACACUUAAGCGACUUUGUGGAUGGACAAAAUAAUGAUACUGUCUGAAAACAGCAAGGCUUAGAAGUCCAAAUGCUCAUUAUGGGGCUAUCAGAAAGUAUAAAUGCAGGUUGACUGGGGGCUGUGCAGAACCUGAGGGGGUAACCUAUUGGAGCAGUGGCUGGUGGGGUGCAGCCAAAUGGAGGCCACUGCUGCCAAACUACAAUUUUAGAGGGAAGUAUCUUUAAUUACUGAACAAGAAUUUGCAAAACAAAACCACCCCAAAAGCCACGGAAUAAAAACACAUCUGUGGACUAGAUGUCACUCUUCCUCUCAAUAUAAUUUCUAGUCUAUAUCUGUAGAAGGACAAACAAUACUAGAAGGUAAAAACUACAUUCAAGUGACUGGACUGGAAACCAAGCAGAUUAAUCCAAUGCAGGGCAAAGAGGCUAAAGCAUAGGCCAAGCCAUUAGAAAAGGGAUGUGAACUGGGAGUAGAUCUUUUGCUGGAGAUUUCCAAUGAUGACAAGACUGACCAUCUCAGGAACACAGCAAGUAGUUGGGCAGCUUGAAUUUUAUUUCAAAAGACUUCCCUAGAAAUGAAUUUAUUUACAUAGAACAGAUUUCACUUACCCACAUUGGAAUAGAGCUCUGUAAUGAUCCAGAACUUAAAAACAGCUCUGAUUGUGCUAGUUGAGAAAGGUUUCUUGGGAUUUUUGGAGUUUCUGCUUUAGCUGAAUACUCAAAAUAUUUUUCAUUCUGAACAGAAUAUGGUGCCUGAACUGAAGUUCCCAUCUCCACUGUUCUGGUGCAGGAUUGAGAAUCCAUUUCCUCCACAUUUGAAUUUAAAACCCCAUGGGUUUCAUUUUUUUCUCCAUCGAGUCCUCUUUCUGAUGAUUCUUCAAAACCCAGUCUUUCUUUUCUGCCUUCUGGUUGAGCUUUUACUGAGUACUCACUAGAGGCAGACCCACAGGGAGUGCUGUACUGUAAACUUAGGGGGUGAGAUACAUUAGCCUCAUCAGAUGAACUGAAGACUGAACUCUGUAAACUUCCUACACAGAGGUGGAAAUGAACACUUUUUUUCUUAUUUUGUAUUUCAGUCUGUUCGGAGUAGUAUUGAUUUUCCAUGCCUUGGUAAGAAUCUCUUGCUUCAAUGCUAAAAAUACUUGGUAGAUCAACAUGCUGGCUCCCCUCCUGAGAAGAAAAUUCUGGCAGAAGCUGUUGAAAAGAUUGUUCAGAUCCUGUAAGAAUUAAGUUAACCAUAAUUACGUGUUGUAAAACCUGGAUACAGAUACAAUCUCUAAUGGUCUGACUAAAUUGCAAGUAAUGAAGUCAGAUUACUUCCUACAAUUUGAGGAGUGAAAGUUGAUGUAUGUAUACAUGAACAGAAAACUAAAAGGAUGGUCACAGUGAUUUUCAAAUAAUUCUGCUCCCACCAUGUAUUUUCUCCUAGUCUAAUAAGAUACGGUUAUUAGACAUGAUGAGGACUCUUCCCUCCUAAGAGAGAAUAUUGAUUUUAAAAACAGAACUUAGUCUGUGUAUCUCAUAUAAAAAUACAUAUGUAUAUGUGUAUACAUAAAAUUUGUUCAAGAAGUUUUAGAAGGAUACUGAAAACUUAACCGUAAGGGUUGAGGGUAAGGAAGUUGAGGAACAAGAGGCAGCACUUUUGCUUUUUAUUUUAUCAAGUUAAGAACUGUAAAAAUGCAAACUGAGCAUUAUUACUUCUGUUACUGAAGUGAGUACACAGAGAAACAGAAGCUGUAACACUGGGAAUGGGUGAGGACAGGAGUGGAGACAUACCAGGGGCUGCUACGUACAAUUUCCAAGAAAAACGGAUGUAAACCAGGGAAAAGUAUUUUCUAACUUAAUCAUACCCUCAGUCUUUUCUGUAGCAAAUAUCUGAGCUGCAGCAUGAGCCAAAGGAAGGUCCGGUUGCUGGUUCAGGCUUGUGUUAGAAUUCAGGCUGGUUCUCAGUGCUGUAAAGGAAACAGUACUUCCGGAUGCUCCAACAGCAUGGUGGCUUUCACAGGAAGAAUCUGAGUUCUGAUGGAAAACAACAGGGAAAGGCUGAAAUACUGAUUAUGUAUUACCAACUGGAUCAAUAGUCAUGCUCCUAUGAUACCACUCUUCCUUAAUUACCACUUUACUUUCACACUAAUAAUUUGCUUAUUUAAACCCAAUUCUUCCAUUUCAGUCAAUAUGAAAGAGACUUUUUAAAAAAAAGAUUACUUAGAAAACAAACUGCAAAUUAACCAGAUAGUUCAGCGUGGGAUGUCAGGGUAUGGGAGCCAAAGACCUAGGUUUGAAUCUCAGCUGCUUUAUUACACAGGAAGAGGCUUUAAGUUUUGUAAAAUCAGCAAAAAAAAAUUAACAAUAAAAAUAUUCUUGAGCCUUUUAUAGAUUAUACUUAUCAGCUGGAGAGAAGGUUGACAGGACAAAAUUCUAGUACAGAUGGUUUUCAAUCUUCCACAUUAGAAUCACUAGGGGAAUUCAAAAAAGGUUUGCAAUAAUCUAAGCACUCCUAGAGAUUAUGAUUUAAUUGGUCUGGGUACAGCCUGGGCAUUGGGAUUUUUAAAAGCUUUCCAUGUGAUUCUAAUCAGCAGCCAAGGUUAAGAACCACUGUUUUAACAGAAGAAAAGAUAAACUGUUUUUGGAAAUUCACAGCAAUGAAGUAUCUCCAUUUAAAAUACCUGGUAAAAGUCUCUGCUGUCUUGAGAAAUCCCAGAGUAUGAUGAUGAUAUAUCAAAAUCUGGAUGUGGUUCUAACGGUUUAAAUAGCUGACGAUGCAAAUGUGGAAAAGUGUGUUCCAAUUCUGGAAAGUCAAGGUCAACUGUUGCAAUUUUGAGAAAAAAAGGAUCAAUGAUUUAAAAAAAGAAAGAAGAAAAGUUCCUGUACAGGGUGUUACUAUGGGCCAGCCACUGGACUUCAUGUGUAUUAUCUCAUUUAAUCUCCGACAUCCCCCUUUUAACAGAAGAUGAAGGAUCAGCAACAUGUUCAUUGUCUCACAGCUAAUAAACAAUCAAACCAGGGACUCAAGGUCCGACCUUAUUCUCAAUAUUGGUAAAACUGCCUCAGCUGUUACAGCUAACUUUGCAAUGCUAAAGGAAGAUCUGUUCAUCUCUGCAACAUGUUCUUCAGUCUAAUUCAUUCCAGAUCUCCUCUCUUUCCAAAUGCCCUGUUUUCCAUGUAUUGUGUCAUAACUGCCACAGAAGGCCAUAAAGACAUGAAGCUCAAACAAUCCUUAAAACUAAAAGGAUGAAAGGUUAUACAGAGGUAUUGUUCAAAAUAAUUUUACCCUCAAGUCUGUUUUUUCAGCCAUCAAAUUUGCUUCACUUAUGUGCUUGUCUAUCAUCUGCUGCACGUGUGUCUUACCAGGUGUAAACUUUUCCACUGCAGGCAACAGAGGCUGAUGAACUUCCUGAGAGUCCUGCCUUUGACAAAGAACUUGUGAUGAAGGAAGUAUAGAACUUAAAAUAUCUCUUUCGUCUUCUUUACCGGUGGUAGAUUCUUGUUCCCUGGGGUCCACAUGCUCUGAAAAUGACCCUGAACAUUGAGUUUAAUGAAAAUACUUAAUGCUGCCACUUCCUUAGAGACAAGUUUUGGUAGAGAGGCAUAGCAAUACACACUGAGGAGGGAUCAGAGCAAUUAAGAAAUCUGCUCAGAUAGAUUCCCGCUGAAUGGGAAAAUGUGACAAUUGCAGAUAAAUCUGAAAAUGUUGGAGAACCACAGAGCAUCCCUGUGGGCCUGCAGGCCUGUGACUUCCAAUAAUGUUUACAGUAUCAUACUGCCCAUUAUCCUCCCAGGCAUGAAAAGUUUACCUCUGAGACUGGAAGAAACAGCCGCUCUCAGCACAAUGACAAGCUCUCAGUGUCUGCUCUCACCACUGUACUGACCUCAACUGAUGCCGGUCUUUCAGUUUACUAACAAACAUUCUGAUGUUAUUACCUGGAUCUGUAAGGCUCAGAUCUGUGUUUUCAUAACUUAAAAAGCUCCCAGUAGAAAUAGUUACUGAUGAUAAUGGCUCAUGAUAAAUCUCUUCUGUUUCAGCCUAAAAAUGAAGAGGAACAUUAGACCACAAUGUAGGAAGUAAGAGCUAGAAAAAAACCCAAAUCAGCAACAUUAGCAGUUAUCAAUUCUGAGCUCAGAUCAAGUGUAGAAACCUUCAUAGUUGUAAAGGUCAGUAGUAAAACCUUUUCAUCAUUGCUCAGAACUCAUUAGUCUCAUACACACACACAUCUCCCCCCAACCCUUGACCUCAUUUAUCAAGUCCUCAGACAGAGUCACACAGUCACCUUUACACACACACACACACACACACACACACACACACACACACACACACCCC